AGAGUUUGAUCCUGGCUCAGGACGAACGCUGGCGGCGUGCCUAACACAUGCAAGUCGAACGGAGAAUUUUAUUUCGGUAGAAUUCUUAGUGGCGAACGGGUGAGUAACGCGUAGGCAACCUGCCCUUUAGACGGGGACAACAUUCCGAAAGGAGUGCUAAUACCGGAUGUGAUCAUCGUGCCGCAUGGCAGGAUGAAGAAAGAUGGCCUCUCGAAGCAAGCUAUCGCUAAAGGAUGGGCCUGCGUCUGAUUAGCUAGUUGGUAGUGUAACGGACUACCAAGGCGAUGAUCAGUAGCCGGUCUGAGAGGAUGAACGGCCACAUUGGGACUGAGACACGGCCCAAACUCCUACGGGAGGCAGCAGUGGGGAAUCUUCCGCAAUGGACGAAAGUCUGACGGAGCAACGCCGCGUGAGUGAUGAAGGAUUUCGGUCUGUAAAGCUCUGUUGUUUAUGACGAACGUGCAGUGUGUGAACAAUGCAUUGCAAUGACGGUAGUAAACGAGGAAGCCACGGCUAACUACGUGCCAGCAGCCGCGGUAAUACGUAGGUGGCGAGCGUUGUCCGGAAUUAUUGGGCGUAAAGAGCAUGUAGGCGGCUUAAUAAGUCGAGCGUGAAAAUGCGGGGCUCAACCCCGUAUGGCGCUGGAAACUGUUAGGCUUGAGUGCAGGAGAGGAAAGGGGAAUUCCCAGUGUAGCGGUGAAAUGCGUAGAUAUUGGGAGGAACACCAGUGGCGAAGGCGCCUUUCUGGACUGUGUCUGACGCUGAGAUGCGAAAGCCAGGGUAGCGAACGGGAUUAGAUACCCCGGUAGUCCUGGCCGUAAACGAUGGGUACUAGGU
rnacentral:rRNA from 1 species